rnacentral:rRNA from 1 species
AGAGUUUGAUCAUGGCUCAGAACGAACGCUGGCGGCGCGUUUUAAGCAUGCAAGUCGAACGGUAGCCAUAGCUUCGGUUGUGGUGAGAGUGGCGAACGGGUGAGUAACACGUAGGUGAUCUACCCCUGGAUGGAGGAUAGCCCAUGGAAACAUGGGGUAAUACUGCAUAAUGCCUAGUUUGUUAAGUGGAUUAGGUUAAAGGCGCAUUUGUGCUGUCUGGGGUUGAGCCUGCGGUCCAUUAGUUAGUUGGUGGGGUAAGAGCCUACCAAGGCGAUGAUGGAUAGCCGGCCUGAGAGGGUGCACGGUCACACUGGGACUGAGACACGGCCCAGACUCCUACGGGAGGCAGCAGCUAAGAAUCUUCCGCAAUGGGGGAAACCCUGACGGAGCGACGCCGCGUGGACGAUGAAGGCCGAAAGGUUGUAAAGUCCUUUUGUAGGUGAAGAAUAAGGUGGGGAGUGGAAAGCCCUGCUGAUGACGUUAGCCUGAGAAUAAGCCCCGGCCAAUUACGUGCCAGCAGCCGCGGUAACACGUAUGGGGCGAGCGUUGUUCGGAAUUAUUGGGCGUAAAGGGCGUGUAGGCGGUUUAGUAAGCCUGGUGUUAAAACUGUAGGCUCAACCUGCAGGUAGCGCUGGGAACUGCUAAGCUAGAGUCCAGGAGGGGAAGCUGGAAUUCCAGGUGUAGGGGUGAAAUCUGUAGAUAUCUGGAAGAACACCGGUGGCGAAGGCGAGCUUCUAGCCAUGGACUGACGCUGAGGCGCGAAAGCGUGGGGAGCGAACAGGAUUAGAUACCCUGGUA